UACACUCUAUGUGUUGUUGUAUGCACAUGUUGAGAGGGAGUUUAGCCUGUACCUUGUGGGACUAAUGCUUCUUCCAAGUUUAUGUUGUGUAAUCUCAUUUGUUGGAGAAGGAAAGAAUCUCAAUGGAUAUCAAAUGCUUCCUACUGAUUUUUGAAUGCUCAAUUAUUAUUUCAGGAGGUUCCUUUCUUUAUAAACCAAGAACAUGAAUUUUGAGUUAGUUGGAGAAAUAAAGUUAAGAGUGGACAUUCAUUACUAUUUCUCCACUAUGGAACUCAUCA
rnacentral:lncRNA from 1 species